rnacentral:misc_RNA from 1 species
ACACCUCAACUCUCAUGGUUUGCCAUGAUGAGCUUGGACUUUGGGGGUCUUGCUGGCCUUUGGUCAGCUCCCCUCAAAUGCAUCAGCUUCCCAGUGUCUGGUGGCAUCACAGGUGUGAUAACUAUCUACGCUCGUGGUUUUCCACCAGGUAACCUUCAGUGAUGGAGGUUCGCUGGAGCUCAUAAACGUCUCUCCUCGGUGAGGACAGCAUUUGAAC